ACAAGGUUGACUUUGGAGGACCGACGCACAACGGGGACCCGUGGUUUCUGGCAGCCACAGGGUGACCUGGGAGGGUCAGAAUGAGAACACACAUGUUGGGGCUGGAUCCCAGGAUAAGGUCUUAACACGGUAUCUGACACAUAGAAAGUGUUUAAGAAAUAACUGUGGGAUGAGGGAAGAAUUGAUAUGCCUUUCUUCACCUCCGAGGCCACAUUCCUGGUCCUGCUCAGACUGCAUAAUCCUGGUGCCUGUUCCCUCAUUCUCUCAUCAGCGUAUUUCAAAGGAGUUGCACCUCCUGGGGAGACUGGAACCACUGGGGCCAAGAUGAUGUGAACACGGUUGAAAAUCUACACUCCCCUCUGGGUGGAUGUGGUGAUGUUGCUCAUUCACUUGAAUCGGUUUGCUGACCCAUCUUGACUUCUUUACCAACAGUCACGAGAGAGAAAAGUCCCACGUCAUGUGACAAC